UACGUAGGGGGCAAGCGUUGUCCGGAUUCAUUGGGCGUAAAGGGUGCGUAGGCGGCGGGGCCAGUCUGAUGUGAAAUCCCGGGGCUCAACCCCCGGAACUGCAUUGGAUACUGCCUUGCUAGAGUACUGGAGAGGGAACUGGAAUUUACGGUGUAGCAGUGAAAUGCGUAGAGAUCGUAAGGAAGGCCAGUGGCGAAGGCGAGUUCCUGGACAGUUACUGACGCUGAGGCACGAAGGCCAGGGGAGCAAACGGG
rnacentral:rRNA from 1 species